CAAUGUAGCACUUGCUGUAAUAGACAUAGUGUGAGAGAUUAUGGGAGCACAGUGCAGAGUUUAUGCUUGGGCCCUCCACAAAUAUUUGUAGAUUGAUUGUUGAAUGAAGCCUCUGCACCUGGGAAACAAACUGGAGGGAGCCUCUGCCUUGCCUGGAAGAUUCAGGAAGUCUUCUGGAGCAAUUGAGAUUGAGUGGGUCUUAGGGUGAAGAAAAAAAGAGAAUUACACAGAGGGAGGUCUACACGCAGGCAGAGAGGUAAGAAUGGGUAUGUGUAUUUGGAAAAGGCCAAAAGACUGAGGUGGCUAGGGGAGAGGAUAAAUGAGGCUGAGGAGAAGUAGGAGAGAGCUAAAGAAGCAGGCAUCAAAGGCCUCAAGUGACUUGCUAUGGAGUGUGAAUAUCAGCUCACAGGAAACAGAGUCAAGUGAAGACAGUAAGAUCAAUGACACGGGUCAUGCCUGUGAUUUUGGGGCCAAGAGGAGAUUUUGACUGAACAUCUUGUUCUGCAAUCCCAGGAGCCGUGAGUUUUAGGGAGGUUUUCAAGCACUGGAUUAGCAUCACGGAAGACUAGCUCAUGACUCCUGAAGGAACCUGAUUUGGCCUGCAGUGUUUGAUGGAUCAAAGGCAACAUCAGUAUCACCUGACAGAAGGCCACUGGGUAGAGAGGAAGAACCUGGGAGCAGACAGAAUUAUGUCUGGAUCCUGCCCCUCCCUCCCUGUACGAAUGACCUUGAAUGAAAUCUUCCAGCCUAAUAAAUACCUAUGUUAUGCUCUAUGCCUUCCAGAUGCACAGUGAACAUCAGGACAAGGAGAACUGUGACGAAGGGAGUUGGAGGCCUGUAUUUUAUUAGAGCGGGCCCCAUGAACAGGAUGUAGGCUUGCUGGCUUAAAGGAGUUGUUAGCAAAGGUUUAUUUUAUCACCAGAAUUGCCCCUCCUCCUUUAAAAUAUUUGGGUGCUAAAUAAAAGGAUGUUUGCUUUUCUCAGUUG